CUUGGACAGCUCACACCACUCCCGCACAUCCAUCGCGCAAAUGGAUCAAGCACUUCACGCACUUCAUUCUCGGGCACAUGGACCCAUUCUCGCAAAUGGACCAGUGCAUUUAAUUCUCAUGCACAUGGUGGCCAAAGCUGACAGCCCAUUAUCACUUCAACGUGGACCGCUUCACCAAGCUCGCGCGCCUUCACAAGUUCAGCAUCUGGACCGGCCCGUCUUGCACAUGACCAAGCUUUCUUCACGUGGAAUCAAAGCCUGUACUGCCACUCACGCAGCCACGUGCGCAAUGGGCCCCGCUUUCAGCAAUUCACUCCACCGUGGACCAAUUUCCGCACAUGCACCGUGGACCACACCCCCACUUCAUCAACUCACACACGGGACCGCGUGCGUGGACAGCAUUAGGGCUCCUCUGCACCCUAUUUAAGGGACCUUAAAUGGCCAGAGAAAAGACUCAAAAAAUUCAAUUUGGCAGUGCUCGGCGCAAGGCAAAAGGCAGAAUUCAAUAUCCUUCGGUUCCUUCUUUCUCUUUUCUUUUCCCUUUUAAUUUUCUGUUUUUAAUUCAGCCAAUGAGUGGCUGAUUUCUUUAAUCUAGUUGAAUAUUGGUUGAAGCUUUAGUUGUUUAAUGGGUUGUGAGACUUAAUCAAAUAUUGUUUAAUUUUUGGGAAUUCAAUAUUCAUGCAAUUUCAUAUUUAAUUCUGAUAUUAUUUUGUUAUUGAGAUCUACGUUGAUUUUUUAUUGCAAAAUAAUUAUUUGUUAGUUUAAAUAAUUUAAGUCCGUAAUUGCUUGGGUUAUUCUUACAUGAGAACACUUGGGAUAAAUCCAAGGAAAUUGUAUGAUCUAGCGUUAUCUCCAUACGUUUGGGUAGCUAGGAUUGGAUCUCUCUAUUUCUUAAUGCAAUUGACAAUUGUUUUGAUGCCUAAGGCCCAAGGACGUUCCUUGGCAAUUUGUUAAUUAGUAAUUAAUUAGAGGACGUUCCCUAAUUGAUUUUAUCAUAAGGAGAGAUAAUGGUGGUGAGAAGCGUCUUCCAUCUCCAUAACUAAUCUAUUGAAUCAACCCAAAAGAACAAAGUGUCUGUGAUCAAUCCCAACAACUAAAGUGGAUCCAAUACUUCAACUAGAGCUUUCUCAUUAUUGAUUACUUUUUAUUUAAUUAUUUGCUUUCCAUUAUUAUUCUCAUUAUUAGUUUACUACAAUCAAUCUCAAACCCCCCUGUUAUUUUGUUGACAGUUUUUAUCCCAUUUUCAGUCUUUUAUCUCAUUUUUAAUUUAUUAUCGUUCCAGUUUAUUUUAUUGGUCAUAAAAAGAGAAAUAGGUGAGUUCUCAAUUCUCUGUGGAUUCGAUCCUUUCACCACUAUCUGCAGUUGUAAAUUGUUGAUAACCAGAAAGGUUAUUUUUUACCGGCUUUGACAACCGCGAGUCAAAAAUUGGCGCUGUUGCCGGGGAAUUGAUUUUACUUGUGUAUUUUUUUCUUUCAUUACCAGAUCUGCCACCCUCAAUAAUGCUACUGAGCAAUUACCUUCUACACCUACUGUCAAGACUGCUGUUCCGAGAAACAGAACCAGCUGCUGUCCAAAAGGCAGCCAUAAACACUGCUGCUCAAACAACACUUGCUGAAUUUGUUGCUAUCCAAAAAAUAGCAUAUGCAGAAAUUACAGAACAAGUGUUACAUGCUGUCCAGGAGAUAGCACACACAGAAAUUACCUCAACAGAACCAGAAUCUGCUGCACCAAAAUCUACAGAACCAGCCCUUACAAACACAGCUGCAGAAAUUGCCCAAACAGCCGCUGAGAUGGCUGAAUUUCAAGUGCAACCUGCUGCCCUUGUUCAAAGACCAGCUGGACCUGCUGUACAUGCUGAUAUUGAACCAGAAAAUCUAGCCAAGAGGGCACCAAUACCAAGAGAAAGAACACUGAGAGAGUUGGCAGCCCCUGUUGAUGAUCAAGCACUAUGGUGCAUCACUUACCCACCUUUGACAGCCCCUUUUAAGCUCAAAACAGGUUUGAUACAUCUACUACCUAAAUUUAGAGGUUUGGAGCAUGAAAAUCCACAUAAGCACUUGAAAGAAUUUCAUUUUGUUUGUUCAUCCAUGGGACCACAAGGCAUAUCUGAAGAGCAUGUUAAAUUAAGAGCAUUCCCAUUCUCACUUGAUGAUUAUGCCAAAGAUUGGUUAUUUUACUUGCCACCUGGAUCAAUCACUUCUUAGGAAGGUAUGGUAAGAGCCUUUCUGAAUAAAUAUUUUCCAACUUCUAAAAUAAUAGGCAUAAGAAGAGAGAUUAGUUGCAUUAAGCAAGAAGAAACUGAAGAUUUGUAUGAUUACUGGGAAAGAUUUAAUAGAUUGUGUACAAAUUGUCCUCAACAUGACAUUUCAGAAAGAUCACUCAUAGAAUUCUUCUGUGGUGGUUUGCUACCAUCCGAAAGGAAAUUCAUUGAUGUAGCAUGUAGAGGUUCAAUUAAAGAUAGCACACCUCAAGCAAUUAGAGAGUUGAUUUCAAGACUUGCAGUAGCAUCUAGACAAUAUGGAGAUGAAAAGCAAUUGCAAAAAGGAGUCAAUGAGGUAGGUACAUCUGUUCUCACUUCUCAAAUUUCUGAACUAACCUCUGCUUUGAAAAGUCUUGUUAUAGGUCAAGCUCAACAACUUCAACAAGUACAUGCAUUUGAAGGAUCCUAUGGACAACCAAGACAUGAUCCUUACCUUAACACCUACAAUUCAUGUUGGGGAGACCAUCCGAAUUUUGGCUAUGCUAGGGCUAACAACUACUAGGACUAUCAAGGAUAUCAAGCCCAACCAGCACCUCCAAGUUCCAACCAACACCUUGAGAAGAUGAUGGAGACAUUGGCAAGUUCUAUGCAAAGCAUCCAACAGCAGAUAGAACAAAUGACCACCUCAUUAAAUGCAAACAUGUUAAGGAGAGAGGAAGAGUUUCAAGAUGAUAAGACAAAUGAUGAAAGUUCAGAAGUACAAUAACAAGCUGCUGAAGAGAAACAACUAGAAAAUUGUUUACCUAAACAAACUGAUCAAACAGAAUCUGUUGAUAAUUUAGAUAUCAUUGAUUGUUUGAGUGAAAAUGUUCUUUUUGUAAAUCAAGAUGAUAUACUAAAUGAUGAUCUUUGCAGGAAUGAGAGCCAGAAAGAGUCGAAACUUAAGGAAAUAGUUUGCAGCAUCCACCAGAUGAACUGCAAACCACUACAGGAAGUACAGAAACCAGUUGCACCACUUCAUAAUGGAAUACAGACCACCCCUGCGCAAGAAGAGGCAUCUGAAAGCCUCUUAGGCGCGCCCAUUCAGCUUCCUAUGCAAAUUAGCUCUCCUCCGCCUCCCUUUCAGCCAAGUCCUGCGCAAAAGGAAGCUUUUGAAUCCAGUUCUACGCCAUCUCCUUUGUAGUCAAGUCUUGCACAGAAGGAGACUUCUGAAACCACCUCUGCGCAGACACCUUUGCAACAUCUCUCAGAAUCUGAAGAAUAUAAGAAUGACCACCUUGAACAAAUCUUCCUUGCCCAAUCUGAUGAGCCAUGGUACGGAGACAUGGUAAACUACUUUAGGUAACUUGCCUUCUGACAUGCCAAAGCACACCAAAGAUAAGAUAAAGAAAGAUGCCAAAUACUAUGUUUGGGAUGAGCCAUAUUUGUGGAAACAUUGUGCUGACCAAAUGAUAAGGAGAUGUAUUCCAGACCAAGAAAUAGCUUCAGUACUCACUUUUUGUCACUCAUAUAGUUGUGGUGGACACUUUGGUCCCAGAAAAACUGCUCAUAAGAUACUUGAAAGUGGUCUAUUUUGGCCCACUAUUUUUCGAGAUGCUUUUAUGUUUUGCAGGUCAUGUGCUAGGUGUCAACAAACUGGAAAUCUGAGCAAAAGAAAUCAAAUGCCACAGAACCCCGUCAUGGUCUGUGAGGUGUUUGAUGUGUGGGGCAUAGACUUCAUAGGCCCAUUCCCACCAUCCUUUGGAUACACCUACAUAAUCCUUGCAGUGGAUUAUGUAUCCAAAUGGGUGGAAGCUAGAGCAACAAAGACUGAUGAUGCCAAGGCCGUAGUAGACUUUGUGAAGACCCAUAUCUUUGCCAGACAUGGAGUACCAAAGGCAAUCAUCAAUGAUAGAAGGACCCAUUUUUGCAACAAGGUAGUGGAAAGCCUCCUCAGGAAACACAAUGUGAUCCAUAGAACAUCCACAGCCUACCACCCUCAGACAAAUGGGCAAGCUGAAGUAUCCAAUAGAGAAAUCAAGGCCAUCCUUGAGAAGACAGUCUCCCCUAACCGAAAAGAUUGGAGUGCCAGACUAGAAGAUGCUUUAUGGGCCUACCGAACAGCUUACAAGACUCCCAUAGGCAUGUCCCCUUACCGAUUGGUCUAUGGGAAAGCUUGUCACCUUCCAGUCGAGCUUGAACACAAGGCAUAUUGGGCUGUAAAGAAUUGCAACAUGGACCUUAAGGAAGCUGGACACCACCGCAAAUUGCAACUGCAAAAGCUAGAGGAAAUAAGAUGAGACGCAUAUGAGAACUCUUGGAACUACAAAGCAAAAACCAAAGCCACCCAUGACAGUCAUCUUUCAAGAAAACAAUUUGAGGUUGAUGAUAAAGUCUUACUCUUUGACUCUCGUUUAAAAUUGUUUCCAGGAAAGCUACGAUCUAGGUGGAUUGGACCAUUCAUUGUGGAACAUGCCUACCCCAUGGAGCUGUAGACAUCAAAAGCAUAGAAACUGGAAAAAUCUUCAAAGUAAAUGGGCAUCGAUUGAAACCAUAUUAUGAAGGAUUCGCAGUGCAAGUAGUGGAAGAAAUUCCACUUUCUCGGUCUGAAUAGUGAUCAUGCCAUGCGCACCACACCCCAGGGGAGUAUUCAGAUUCCUUUGUUCUCUUCUUUUCUUUUACAUUGAGGACAAUGCAUGAUUUAGGUGUGGGGGGUGCAUAUUUUUGAAUCUUUAUUUUUGUUUAUUUUUGCUUUAAUUCUCAGUUUGAAUUUUCAUUUUCAUUUUCAGUGUGAUUUUUUUUCAAAUUUUUCGUUUUUGCUUUCAAUAACACACAACCACAGUCUUCUUCUUUUUUAUUUGCUUUACUCAUCAUAUAGACUAUGUUGGAUGAGCUUUUCUUUCCAUGACCCUAUUGAUGUGAUGACUCUUUAAACUUAUGUUGAAUCAAUUGUAGUGAGUUAUAUUCAUGUUUGAGAAUUGCCUUUUGAAUUGAAUCUUUGAGCUUGCCAAUGGUGAAAAAUAUAUUGAUGACCCUCAAUUGAUGAGAAUAAAUUGAAAGUUGUGUGAAUGAACUUAAUGUGACUUGAUUUAGUAAUUGGUGUUGAUUUGCCCAAAUCAUUGAGAGAAAGAAAUUCACAAAGGCUUAGACUUCGAAAGCACAAAUUGAAAAUUGUUCCAAUGGUCAAAAGACUAUGAACAGAGCUAGUAGCCACUUGGACAGGUGACCAACUGAGUAACUGGGGGUGGGUAUCACAAAUAUGUACCUUCACGUCAAAAGGUUGGUGACUUGUUCAAGCAAAAUUAAAAGUGUAAAAAGCUGAAUAAAGUACUUCAAGGUAAGGGUAAGUCACUCUGAAAGCUAGAAAAAGUCUUAACAAAAAUGUUCAUGUAUGGUCUCUAUUGAGGAAAACAAAUCCUAGCCAUGGUGAGUAAAGGGAAACAAGGAAAGAAGGUGAGUAAUCUUCAUGCAUAUAUUCUUCACUGCAAUGAUUCAAAAUAGGUGUCUAAAGUAAGAGCUAAAAGUGGUAAUAAGGAUCUAGAGCAAAGAAAGCUUAUUUGACUAUGUUUAUUUGCUUGAGGACAAGCAAAAGGCUAAGUGUGGGGGUAUUUGAUAGAGUAUAAUUUAGUCCAUUUUAUAUUAAUAUUAUUGAUGAAUAUUUACACGAUUUCUGCUUAAUUUAGUGUUUUUAAUAUUAUUUUGCAGAAAAUGGUGUAAAAUGACAUUUUGGAGAAAAUCCCCCUAAAACUGCCUUAUUUGAAGCAAAAGAGAGCAAGUCUGCCAAGUUGGAUUCAAAACGAGCUAAAGGAGGAAAAUAUUUGGAAAUUUAAAUAUCCAAGCUCCCGCACAUGGCCAAAGCUUGGACAGCUCACACCACUCCCGCACAUCCAUCGCGCAAAUGGAUCAAACACUUCACGCACUUCAUUCUCGGGCACAUGGACCCAUUCUCGCAAAUGGACUAGUGCAUUUCAUUCUCACGCACAUGGUGGCCAAAGCUGACAGCCCAUUAUCACUUCAACAUGGACCGCUUCACCAAGCUCGCGUGCCUUCACAAGUUCAGCACAUGGACCGGCCCGUCUUGCACAUGACCAAGCUUUCUUCACAUGGAAUCAAAACCCGCACCGCCACUCACGCAGCCACACGCGCAAUGGGCCCCGCUUUCAGCAAUUCACUCCACCGUGGACCAAUUUUCGCACAUGCACCGUGGACCACACCCCCACUUCAUCAACUCACACACGGGACCGCGUGCGUGGACAGCAUUAGGGCUCCUCUGCACCCUAUUUAAGGGACCUUAAGUGGCCAGAGAAAAGACUCAAAAAAUUCAAUUCGGCAGUGCUCGGCGCAAGGCAGAAGGCAGAAUUCAAUAUCCUUCGGUUCCUUCUUUCUCUUUUCUUUUCCCUUUUAAUUUUCUGUUUUUAAUUCAGCCAAUGAGUGGCUGAUUUCUUUAAUCUAGUUGAAUAUUGGUUGAAGUUUUAGUUGUUUAAUGGGUUGUGAGACUUAAUCAAAUAUUGUUUAAUUUUUGAAAAUUCAAUAUUCAUGCAAUUUCAUAUUUAAUUCUGAUAUUAUUUUGUUAUUGAGAUCUACGUUGAUUUUUUAUUGCAAAAUAAUUAUUUGUUAGUU
rnacentral:lncRNA from 1 species